GAUGAACGCUGGCGGCGUGCCUAAUACAUGCAAGUCGAGCGAACAGACGAGGAGCUUGCUCCUCUGACGUUAGCGGCGGACGGGUGAGUAACACGUGGAUAACCUACCUAUAAGACUGGGAUAGCUUCGGGAAACCGGAGCUAAUACCGGAUAAUAUAUUGAACCGCAUGGUUCAAUAGUGAAAGACGGUUUUGCUGUCACUUAAAGAUGGAUCCGCGCCGCAUUAGCUAGUUGGUAAGGUAACGGCUUACCAAGGCGACGAUGCGUAGCCGACCUGAGAGGGUGAUCGGCCACACUGGAACUGAGACACGGUCCAGACUCCUACGGGAGGCAGCAGUAGGGAAUCUUCCGCAAUGGGCGAAAGCCUGACGGAGCAACGCCGCGUGAGUGAUGAAGGUCUUCGGAUCGUAAAACUCUGUUAUUAGGGAAGAACAAAUGUGUAAGUAACUAUGCACGUCUUGACGGUACCUAAUCAGAAAGCCACGGCUAACUACGUG
rnacentral:rRNA from 1 species